CAGCCGCCGCGGGAAUACCAGCAGCCCAAGUGGUGGUCGCGUUUAUUGGGCCUAAAGCGCUCGUAGCCUGACCGGUAAGUUCCCCGUGAAAUCGGGUCGCCCAACGAUUCGGCUUGCGGGGAAUACUGUCGGUCUUGGGGCCGGGAGACGCCGAGGGUACUCCGGGGGUAGCGGUGAAAUGCUGUAAUCCUCGGGGGACUACCAGUGGCGAAGGCGCUCGGCGAUAACGGGCCUGACGGUGAGGGGCGAAAGCUGGGGGCGCGAACGGGAUUAGAUACCCCCGUAGUCCCUGUCUCUUAUA
rnacentral:rRNA from 1 species